rnacentral:lncRNA from 1 species
CAUUAUCACCUUAACUUAUGUGCUAAGUUUUUAAGAGGGUGCUUAAUUUUAUGUAAAAUAUUUGCUCUAAAAUGGUAAUAAAAACCAGAAAAUGACAAAUCACUUAAUACUUCAGCUAUAGUCUCAACUUCUAAUGAGCUCAUGUUUCUUGAGCGGAGAAGCAUCACAAUGUAUUUCAAUUCAGUCAUCACAAUCAAGCCGCUCAGGACUUACGUCCGGCUGCAUUCCUGAGGGGCUUUGAAAAAUUAGUCAUGCAGCCACAUCCCAGUGAUCCCACAUAAACCUCUGCAGCCAUGAACCUACAAUGUGACAUCAGCUGGGGGAAUUGGGACUGCUUUCAGCAACAGUGGAGUUUCAAGUGUAGAUGAAGAUGCAGAAGUCCCUAGUGCUUGUUGGGACAGCUUGCAGAAGCAACCAGUUUGGUGGAGUUGUGAACAAGAAUGGGAAAACCCCAAACACCAUCUGCCACACCAGGGGUGGAGAGGCAUCAUCUGUUGUUACAGCACUGCUAAGCCAUAAUUGACAAAUACAAGAGGGAUUCGGCAAAGUUCCAGAGCCAUGUUUUGAUACCUGCGGAGUUUGUAAUAUUCUGAGCCUAUAAGAAGGAAUCAAGAAAACGUACUGAAGACCAGCCUGGCUUUAGAAGAUUAUAUUGCAUAAUCUCUUCCCUGGCCUUUUCCUGUAAAAUUUGACUCAACAGUUAAAACAAUUAACGCUAGAGUGAGGGUUAUAGCUUCUUCAUUCCGUUUUAUUUAUUUAUUUUU